rnacentral:rRNA from 1 species
UACGGGGGGAGCAAGCGUUGUUCGGAUUUACUGGGCGUAAAGGGCGCGUAGGCGGCCAGCGCAAGUCAGUUGUGAAAUCUCCGAGCUUAACUCGGAAAGGUCAACUGAUACUGCGCGGCUAGAGUGCGGAAGGGGCAACUGGAAUUCUCGGUGUAGCGGCGAAAUGCGUAGAUAUCGAGAGGAACACCUGCGGCGAAGGCGGGUUGCUGGGCCGACACUGACGCUGAGGCGCGAAAGCUAGGGGAGCGAACAGG